CGUGCAAAGGUAGCAUAAUAAUUUGCCUUUUAAUUUAAGGCUAGAAUAAACGGAUAAACGAAAUUUUCCCUGCUUCAUCUUUACAAUUAAAACUUAAACCUUAAGUGAAGAUACUUAAAUACAAUUAAAAGACAAAAAGACCCUAUAGAGUUUUAAUUUUAAACUCCUCAUAAAAAAAUAAAUUUUAGUUGGGGUGACUCAGGAUUAUAAAAAACAUCCUAUAACAUUUGAAUAUAAUUCUCUUUACACACUCCUACAUGAGAAUAAAUAAUAAAUUACCUUAGGGAUAACAGGCUUAUCCUUUUAACAAGUUCACAUUUACAAAAGGGUUUGGCACCUCGAUGUU
rnacentral:rRNA from 1 species